rnacentral:rRNA from 1 species
CUCAAAGGAAUUGACGGGGGCCCGCACAAGCGGUGGAGUAUGUGGUUUAAUUCGAUGAUACGCGAGGAACCUUACCAGGGCUUAAAUGCGGGCUGCAUGGGACAGAGACGUCCCUUUCUUCGGACCGCCCGCAAGGUGCUGCAUGGUUGUCGUCAGCUCGUGCCGUGAGGUGUCAGGUUAAGUCCUAUAACGAGCGCAACCCCUACCGUUAGUUGCCAGCAAGUAAAGUUGGGGACUCUAACGGGACUGCCGGUGCAAACCGUGAGGAAGGUGGGGACGACGUCAAAUCAUCACGGCCCUUACGUCCUGGGCCACACACGUGCUACAAUGGCCGGUACAGAGGGAAGCUACCCCGCAAGGGGGCGCGGAUCUACAAAGCCGGUCACAGUUCGGAUCGGGGUCUGCAACUCGACCCCGUGAAGCUGGAAUCGCUAGUAAUCGGAUAUCAGCCAUGAUCCGGUGAAUACGUUCCCGGGCCUUGUACACACCGCCCGUCAAGCCAUGGAAGCCGGGAGUGCCUGAAGUCCGUGACCGCAAGGAGCGGCCUAGGGCAAAAUCGGUAACUAGGGCUAAGUCGUAACAAGGUAACCGUA